GCGCACGCGCAGGUGGGUGGCAGUUGAAGGUGGCACUGACGGUUAGCCACGGUUAGCUGGCAGGCGGACUCCUCCCCCGCCACUGCCGGUUUCCUUAGGCUCAGCGUCCCAAUAACGUGGGCUUUGCGAUAGCCGGCUGCAGGAUGCCUUCAGGAAGAAGCAGGACGAAACACAGAUGCCUGAGCUGCAGCCUCCUGCCUCACUUGGAGAUAGGCACACUAGUGGGCCAGAAAAGACGUUUGAGCUGGGAAUCUCUAGUACCUUGAGACCGGUUCCUGGUGGUGGAAUGCUCAGCAAAGCAGGCCAAGCAUGCUCUCCCGAAGGGCGUGAGAUGAAGACGAACCAAGUUGAGAAUAAUGGAACCUGUAAGGCAGCCUCCCUGGCCCAGGGCUCUACAACAUGAUUGACAAGAUUAGAAUGUGGCUGGCUUCCCCGCCACCCGCCGCCUCUUCUGCUGUCAUGACAUUGGUUCUUUGCCCAUUUUGCCCCUCAGUCCUGACUGAGCUACUGCAGGUGCUCAGUUCUGUUGCUUCUUACAAACAAAACUGGAUUUUCCAAGGAGGAACACUUGCCGUUUACAUGGACUAGUACUGGAAAUGAAUCCAAGGCACUUCAAAACAUACCCAGCCUCUUCCAAGAGACUUUCCAGCGAGCUGGCAGAAGACAAGCCAAGAAACCAGAGCAAGAACAGGAAAUAUGGCGCCAUUAGUAGACCCAAGUGGGGAAGGCACCCAGUGGGCGAUGCAGAAGAGGCAGAGGUCAGAGGGAGAGAUCGUACCCACAUGAUGCUAGGACAGACUCUGAAUGCCAGGCAGAGCUCACAUCCAAGAGGGAUGUUCUUUCUUAGCUUCCUGCAGACAGGACUUUCUUGUGUUUGGGGGGUGUACCCUUCACUGCUGCUUAACCCCCAGGUUACCACUGGAAGGUGGGCCAGUCUUUGGAUGGCCCCUGCCCCCACAGCCAUGAGAAACAUCAGAUUGUGGCUCUUCCCGAGGGUGUGAGUGUUGCAAUCCUAGCGUUUAGUUCUGAGUGUCAUCAGUGGCAUGGUUUGGGAAGAGAAGUGGAGGCCUCCAGACAUAGGCCGAAUGUUGGUGUGUUUGGUGGUGCCGGCAGACUCUGUUCUCUUGUCUCUUAAGUGUCGCCACUGGCACCUGAAGUACCUGCAGCUGAAGCUACAGUCCUUGGGAAUGAUCGGAUGGUUGCUGUUCCCAAGGGCGUAAGGCUGGGAGCUUCGGCAGUGAUUGGCUGCUUGUUUGCAGAAGGUUGGAGAUCCCUCGAAGGCAAGCCAGGAAGACACAAGACUGGGAACAGAACUCCCUUGGGAUGAGGCCCAUCACCUUGGCAGGGCAGAGGUGGAGAGACCUAAGGGAGGUGCUCCAGUGUUCCAGAUGAUGGCAUGUUGGGUGGCGCCCGUCCACUGCUGCUGCCUCUUUCCCCCCAGGGAUCACUACUAGAAGAGCAGUCAGUGUACAUAUGGCUUGUACCUGAAGCAACGGCAUUUGGGAAGGAUCAGACGGCUGCUCUUCCCAAGGGGUUAGCCUUGUGGGGCUGUGUGGUGGCCAUGGUUUGGCCACAGAGUUGGAGGCUAGUGGUGGAUUUCCUGUUGUUUGGUAGGGCCUGAAGAAUGACCGCUUGGCCUCCUGGCUUGCUUUGGAGGGAUCUCUAGCCUUUUCCAAACAAGCUCUUAUCGUUUUGUGCAGCUGUUGGGCUCCAUACUUUGAAGAAAUGAAGCCUUUUGGGAGGUUCACCAAAAAAAAAAAAUGCAAAAAAGAAGAACGAAAGUAAAAAUGCUCAAUUUAAAUACAAAUGGCUUUGAUCAUGAUCAAAUUGAGAUAUCUCAAUUUAAUCAAAUAUCUCAAUUUAAUCAAAUAUGUUAAAAAUUUCACUUUAUGAAUAUCAAAGUACUGAUUGCAGCUACUAAAAGUCCUAUUAAAUAUAUGUUUUUAAUGUGUUCUCUGCUACAACUGCUACUGCAGAGCAAAACAGUUUUUAAAGCCAGUGGGGCUGCAUUGCUUGACCGGCCUCUUUCACCAUGACAGGAGAGAAGGAUAAAAUACUAUUGUACUUACCUGCAAACAUCAGCGGGCGGGGCGGGGGGGCCCUCUUCAAUCAUGGCAGGAGAGAUUUGGGGAGAUUUAGGGGAGGGGCCGCAGCAGCCAGGAGGCGGUGUUAGGUGGGGUCCUUCCACCGCUGCUGCCACGCACCCAGAGGAUCGCGCAGCGGGCGGAGGCCUCUGAUCACGAGGCACGGCCCUUGGGGAGGAAUGGGUGACGGUCUCUCUCCCCAAGGGCGUGCCUUCGGGCGGGGGCGUGGUGGUGAUGGACGGGCCACAGAGCCGGGGGGGGGGGGAGCGGUGGAUUCCCCGAGGAGGAAGGGUCUGGCUCUGCCUUGGGGAGCCUCAGCACUUGGAUAGAUAGCGCUGGCGACGGGUCGGGCUUCUGCCGAGCCUCUGGCGGUUGCCAGGAUGAUGGUAAGGGCUUCAGCAGAGGCCGGCACAUCGGGGUCAGGGCGUUCAUCCUGGGAUAGUUCUUUAAAGAAGUCUGGGGAGGAACCGACUCCCUGGACAAGCCAGAAAGACGGUCCUGCCCCAGAGGGAUGAAGUCCCGCCCAGGCUCCCCAAGCUCCAGGUUCCUCCUGGGGAUAGGUUGGAGGAUUUUAACCGCCGCUGCCGCCUCCGGCCUCCUUCUGGGGGGGCUCCCCUCCUCCUGGUGGGGAAGGGGUUUCCCCCCAGAAGGCACGCCCCCACCUGGUGCUUUGGCCACAUGCCAAGCAGCCUUUUCUCUUCCACAGGAGGGCUGGUGGCUUGCCCUUAGAGCUGGUUUCUUCCUGGGGAUACCACUUUGACCUUUGGGCAGGCCUCGUCAUUUCUGCCAUUUCUGUCUUUGCCUACAGGGGCUGGGCCAUCAAGGGAAAGGGUGGUUUCCUGUGAGACCUGGCUGGCACUGGCCCCAGGCACCAGAGGAGGCAGCAGCAACUUCCGGACCACCGUUUGGCUGCUGGAGGUGAUGGGCCUCCUUCCGCCAGAUCGAGCCUCUGGCGGUUGCCAGGAUGACGGGAGGGGCUUCAGCAGAGGCCGGCCCAUUGGGGUCAGGGCCUUCAUCCUGGGGUGAUUCAUUACUGAAGUCUGGGGAGGAACCGUUUCCCUGGGCAAGCCAGAAAGACGGUCCUGCCCCAGAGGGUCGAAGUCCCGCCCAGGCUCCCCAAGCUCCAGGUUCCUCCUGGGGAUGGGUUGGAGUAUUUUAGCCGCCGCCUCCGGCCUCCUUCUGGGGAGACUCCCUUCCCCAGGUGAGGUAGGGGUUUCCCCCCAGAAGGCACGCCCCCACUUGGUGCCUUGGCCACACGCCGAGUGGGCUUGAUCCUCUGCUGGUGGGCUGCCCUCCUGUGGUGGCUUCCCUUCCAUGCUGGUUGCUGCCUGGGGCGGCUUUGUUCUUUUCAGAGACCUCAUCCUUUCAGUUGAUAGUCCAGCCACAAGGUCUGGGCCAUCAAGGGAAAGGGUGGAACUGGCCCCAGGGGAGGCUGCAGCAGCUUCCGGACCACCGUGCGACUGCUGGAGGUGAAGGACCUCCUUCCACCAGAUCUCUCUUCCUUUGCUCCUGAAAAGAAAGAAAAUCUUAUUUGUAUUCCUGUCUGGGUCUGUUUUUGUCUCUCUGUCUGUCUUGGCCCCAGGCGCCAGGGGAGGCAGCAGCAGCUGUUGGAAGUGAUGGCCUUCCUUCCCACUUUUCUCCCCUCCUCUGCUCCUGAAAAGAAAGAAAAUCUUAUUUGUAUUCAUUUCUAGGUCUGGGUCUUUUUCUGUCUCUCUAUCUGUCUUGGGAGGUCUUGGGUGGUCAGUGCUGGGAACGGGUUGAACCUCUGCUGUGCCAAGAUGGUGGUUGCCAAGACAAUGGCAGUGGCUUCAGCAGAGGUUGUCCCAUCGCGGUCAGGGCCUUCUUCUGGGGGUGGUUAGUUAAAGAAGUCUGGGGAGGAACUGUCUCCCUGCACAGGCCAGAAGGACUGUCCUCCCCCAGUGGGAAGAAGUCCCGCUCAGGCUCCUCAAUGUCCAGGUUCCUCCUGGGGAUGGGCUGCGGUAAUUUGGCCUGCUCCACUGCAGCCUCCAGCUUCCUUCUGUGGAGACUCCCCUCACCCAGGUGGGGAAGGGAUUUACCCCCAGAAGGCACUCUCCCACCUGGUGCAUUGGCUACAUGCUGAGCAGCCUUGAUCUUCCCUAAGAGGGCUGCCCUCCCAUGAUGACUUCCCCUCGGUGCUGGUUUCUGCCUUUGAUCUUUCGGGAGUCCUCACCCUGUCUGCUGAUGGUCCAGCCACGGGCUGCGCCAUCAAGGGAAAGAGUGGAUUCCUCGCUGGAACUGGCCACAGGAUCACUUAUUUACUAACUGCUGCAAGGUUGGUUAGAGAAAGAGAAAGGGAGAAAGGAAACUCACUGAUUGCCUUGGGGUGAUGGGUUGGUUAAAAUAUGGCAUCUUGUAAUGGUAAUAUCAACUAAUUUCAUUCAAAUGCAGGAAGGUAGACAGUGAGAUGAUCAAUUCAACACAAAAUCAUCUUGCUUUUUAAUUUCUAGAAUAAGAAAUAAUAUGCAACCUUUUUCUUUCCUUUGGUGUAAUUUAAUGUAGUUGAAAUAGAACUGUAUCCCUCCCCCCCUUUUUCCCCUCCUUGACUAAUGAAAUAUAUUUGUUCUUGACUAAUGAUAGAUACUUCUGUAUAUAUUUGUGAGAAAAUGAAAAGAGAGUAAAACAUUUAAUUUUCACUGUCAUAAAUCACAGCUUUCCUGAGGCACAAAGAAGGUGCAAGGUGGUUAAUAACCUUUGGAGAUCGAAGAAAUGUGCUUAAAUAUGCUAGGAACUUAAGAAAUGUUCUUAAAUAUGCUAGGAACAAUAGUCCUGUUUGGAAGAGCAUUAUUAUUUGUGCCCAAUUUCAGAAUAUUUGGGCUCCCAUCUGAUUAGGAAAAUGCUGGCUCUGGGUCCUUUGCCCCCUUCAAAAACAGAAGUGGGAGUCAGAUUUUUUGGCCCUGAAUCGGAUACAUAACGAACUGCAGCUGUCUUGGAGGCCUCAUUCUUGCUGCUGCUCAGAUUGUUGAACAAACAGUCACACUUUUUACUUUUUUUUACAGAAGUCACACUUUUAACUUUGAAUACUUUCCUCGCUUAUUCUUGGGUUUCCGUUUCUCAGACCAAUUUUUGCUAUCUUUGGGUUCCAAUGUACCCCAAAAGAUUCUCAAGCAGAGAGUUUUGGACAUAGAGAAGCAAAGGGACCUAAGUUUGGUCUCCUCUAGAAAUAGCUGUGGCAGUUUCUUAACUUUUCCUUGUCCUGCAGCAUAUCUUACGCACUUGCCAGCCCUAAGCCAGAGAGCCUUUUCACAAGCUCAGUUCAAUGUUUUGCCCUCUGCGGUUUUAGAGGGAAGAUAUAAGAAAGUCCCUCUGAGGAAUCAAUUGUGCCCAUGUGGCACAGGUGAGGUUGAUACAAUUUCUCAUGUUUUGCUUUAUUGUCCUUUUAAUAAAGUUAUUCACUCUACCUAGAUUGAGCCUUAUUUUUAAAAGUGCCCGGGUCAUUCAGACGACUUUUAUGUGUCUUAUUUCUUAAUGAACAGUCAUGUGGAGAUUACUGGUAGAAUGGCAAGAUUUUGUGCAGUGGCUUGCAAAAUAAGAUGUGAACAGAUUUGCUUGAAUUUUCUUGUUUAACACGAUACUGUAUUGUUUUAACAACUUUAUUCUGUAUUUAACGGUUUGUGUGCUGUGUUUUUGUCAUGGACCGUAAAUAAACUAUCUAUCUACCUAA